CCGCCUCAAUCCGCAGCCCCCAAACGUUCGUCCUCACCGAACGCCCGCCCGAGACCGGAACCGGAAGCGCGGGCGGCGCCGUGGAUGGAGCGGGCGAUCUUAGCGACACGAAAAGCAUCCGUGGAGCUCAAGUUUGAUGUGAAACCAGGCUCAGGGUCCACCUGUCCUCGCUGAUCCAUGGAUUUCUGUGUGACCAGGUCCCAGGCUGGACAGAGAGUGACUCUACUGGGAGCUGAGCCAUGAGACUCAGCGCGUCACCUACCUGGGCUCCUUCACCCUGGACUGGGACAGCCUCUACUUCAGUGGUUACACCUAUGGAGCCGUGGCCCCAACUACCACCAGUGAGUAUUCCUGGCCCUGGUCUCCUGUGUCCCGUCUGCAUUUGUAGUUUGGGAGCACUUGUUCUCCUUCAUCUGCUGUCCUUGCUCCCGAGCCGGCCACCACGUCCCUGCAUACUUGAUCAUCACCUGAGCCACCAGAAGCCACCACAGGUAUCUGGGGGCCCCUUUUCCUUCCCAAGAGAAGCUCUCUGGCCCCACUCCCCAUGAGCCAGGUUUGAUCCAGGAGGUGGGAAGCCAGGGUAUGAAAUUCUGGUUUUAGGACAAUCAUGCUGAUCACAAAGAUUAUACCAACGAUUCAGUCUAAGGCCAGCUCUCAGAGAGCCCCUAGUCUUGUGAAAUUAACACACCAUUAUAAUACAAUGUGGGAUAUUUCGGGGAGAGGCACCUGGCAUAAUUUGG